rnacentral:rRNA from 1 species
AAAACUGAGGUGGUAUACGAUGGUUCCGCGUCUGAUUAGCUAGUUGGUGGGGUAAUGGCCUACCAAGGCGACGAUCAGUAGCCGGCCUGAGAGGGUGAACGGCCACAUUGGGACUGAGACACGGCCCAAACUCCUACGGGAGGCAGCAGUGGGGAAUAUUGCACAAUGGGGGAAACCCUGAUGCAGCGACGCCGCGUGAGUGAAGAAGUAUUUCGGUAUGUAAAGCUCUAUCAGCAGGGAAGAAAAUGACGGUACCUGAUUAAGAAGCCCCGGCUAACUACGUGCCAGCAGCCGCGGUAAUACGUAGGGGGCAAGCGUUAUCCGGAUUUACUGGGUGUAAAGGGAGCGUAGACGGCAGCGCAAGUCUGAAGUGGAAUGCCGGGGCUUAACCCCGGAACUGCUUUGGAAACUGAGCAGCUAGAGUGCAGGAGAGGUAAGUGGAAUUCCUAGUGUAGCGGUGAAAUGCGUAGAUAUUAGGAGGAACACCAGUGGCGAAGGCGGCUUACUGGACUGUAACUGACGUUGAGGCUCGAAAGCGUGGGGAGCAAACAGGAUUAGAUACCCUGGUAGUCCACGCGGUAAACGAUGAUUACUAGGUGUUGGGGGACCAAGGUCCUUCG